UAGUCUACGCCGUAAACGAUGGAUACUAGCUGUUGGACUUCGGUUCAGUGGCUAAGCGAAAGUGAUAAGUAUCCCACCUGGGGAGUACGUUCGCAAGAAUGAAACUCAAAGGAAUUGACGGGGCCCGCACAAGCGGUGGAGCAUGUGGUUUAAUUCGAUGAUACGCGAGGAACCUUACCAGGGCUUAAAUGUAGAUUGACAGGACUAGAGAUAGUUUUUCCUUCGGGCAAUUUACAAGGUGCUGCAUGGUUGUCGUCAGCUCGUGCCGUGAGGUGUCAGGUUAAGUCCUAUAACGAGCGCAACCCCUGUUGUUAGUUGCCAGCGAAUAAAGUCGGGAACUCUAACAAGACUGCCAGUGCAAACUGUGAGGAAGGUGGGGAUGACGUCAAAUCAUCACGGCCCUUACGUCCUGGGGCUACACACGUGCUACAAUGGUAUAGACAGAGAGCAGCCACUACGCGAGUAGGAGCGAAUCUAUAAACUAUAUCACAGUUCGGGAUCGGGAGU
rnacentral:rRNA from 1 species